rnacentral:rRNA from 1 species
AAUGAACGCUGGCGGCGUGGUUAAGACAUGCAAGUCGAACGGUGUUUCAAAUGUAGCAAUACAUUUGAAACGCAGUGGCGAACGGGUGCGUAACACGUGAACAAUUUACCUUUUAGUGUGGAAUAGCUCGACGAAAGUCGGAUUAAUACCGCAUGUGGUUGUACUCUCGCCUGAGAGGCAUACUAAAGCCGGGGACGCAAGGCCUGGCGCUAUUAGAGGAGUUCGCGGCCUACAGCUAGUUGGCGAGGUAACGGCUCACCAAGGCUAAGACGGGUAGCUGAUCUGA